rnacentral:rRNA from 1 species
CCCCGGUAAACGGCGGCCGUAACUAUAACGGUCCUAAGGUAGCGAAAUUCCUUGUCGGGUAAGUUCCGACCUGCACGAAUGGCGUAAUGAUGGCCAGGCUGUCUCCACCCGAGACUCAGUGAAAUUGAACUCGCUGUGAAGAUGCAGUGUACCCGCGGCAAGACGGAAAGACCCCGUGAACCUUUACUAUAGCUUGACACUGAACAUUGAGCCUUGAUGUGUAGGAUAGGUGGGAGGCUUUGAAGUGUGGACGCCAGUCUGCAUGGAGCCGACCUUGAAAUACCACCCUUUAAUGUUUGAUGUUCUAACGUGGACCCGUAAUCCGGGUUGCGGACAGUGUCUGGUGGGUAGUUUGACUGGGGCGGUCUCCUCCUAAAGAGUAACGGAGGAGCACGAAGGUUGGCUAAUCCUGGUCGGACAUCAGGAGGUUAGUGCAAUGGCAUAAGCCAGCUUGACUGCGAGCGUGACGGCGCGAGCAGGUGCGAAAGCAGGUCAUAGUGAUCCGGUGGUUCUGAAUGGAAGGGCCAUCGCUCAACGGAUAAAAGGUACUCCGGGGAUAACAGGCUGAUACCGCCCAAGAGUUCAUAUCGACGGCGGUGUUUGGCACCUCGAUGUCGGCUCAUCACAUCCUGGGGCUGAAGUAGGUCCCAAGGG